GAAAGCGUAACAGCUCACUGGUCUAGUGAUUUUGCGCGGAAAAUAUAACGGGGCUAAAUGUUACACCGAAGCUGUAGAUUCGUAUUUAUACGAGUGGUAGGAGAGCGUUCUAUUCAGCGUUGAAGGUAUACCGGUAAGGAGUGCUGGAGCGGAUAGAAGUGAGCAUGCAGGCAUGAGUAGCGAUAAUUAAAGUGAGAAUCUUUAACGCCGUAAACCCAAGGUUUCCUACGCGAUGCUCGUCAUCGUAGGGUUAGUCGGGUCCUAAGUCGAGUCAGAAAUGGGUAGACGAUGGCAAAUUGGUUAAUAUUCCAAUACCAAUCAUAGAGCGUGAUGGAAGGACGCAUAGAGUUAAACGAGCUCACUGAUGGAAUAGUGGGUCGAAGGACGUAGGUUGUUAAGUAGGCAAAUCCGCUUAACAUUAGACCGAGAUCUUACAGGCUCUUUAAAGUCUUCGGAUGGCAAAGAGAAUCAUUGAUACUGUCG
rnacentral:rRNA from 1 species